AACAAGUUGUCCAACCAAGUUAGCUCAUUGUGAUUAUUUUCAUUAUUAGUUCUAAAUUUCAAGAGUUAACUUGUAUCAAUACAAGAUGCCACUACCUUUUCAUUUUAGGCUUUAAACUCUUUUUUUUUUUUCAGAUUUAAUCCUUGUAUAAUUUAUUAUUUUACAUUUUAAGCUUUAUAAGAUUAGGUAGAAGUUGAGACGAUGAUGGCUUCACCAUGAGCUAGAAAACCUUUUAAACGAGGCGACUAGAAAGGCAAACAAUGGCCACCCGUGGUUGUUGGUAAGAGUGCAUUAAAUGAUUGAAUGGGAAAGAAGUGAUUGGGACGCAGGACGAACAUGUGGGUAGGUACCAGCUCAUGAUGAUACUGGUCCACUGCAACAUCUCCAUUGCUUCCAUCAAUUAUUCUGCCUCCCUGAAUUGCGGGUAUAAACAUCCCAGUCAUCUUACAUUUAUCAUCAACCUGCAAAAAUGCAAGAGAAAAGGAAAACUUACUGGCAAAGCUCUACCGUAAUCUGUAAUGACAUGCCUAUGGAAUCUGAGAAACAAACCGUAGCAGAAAGAGGAGAGGAGAGUAGCAGAAGAAACCAAAUCUAACAAGCAGAAGAAGCAGGCCCAAAGAGGAAGUUGGAAGGAAAUAGAGAGGGAUCUAAGCCCUCUUUAGGGGUUUCUAGAUGAGAAGAUAUCAAGGGAGGUAUCAAGAUCAGCUCAAAUACAAAUAAAGUUCAAAAGAAUAUUCAAAGAAUUCCAAUGGCAGGUAAGUUCACUACCUCUCGCAGGCUUUGUCAAGACAAAGUUAAAAAGGUUGUAGUGUUCUUGUAGAUUCAGCUGAUGCAAUGAAGAUCUGUAUUUCUGCUAA